rnacentral:rRNA from 1 species
ACUCAAAGGAAUAGACGGGGACCCGCACAACCAGUGGAGCGUGUGGUUCAAUUCGAGACAAAACGAAGGACCUCACCAGGGUUUGACAUGCAAUCGUUUAUUCUUUAAGAAAUUAGAGGAAAUCCGCAAGGAUGAUUGCACAGGUGCUGCAUGGCUGUCGUCAGCUCGUGCCGUGAGGUGUUCCCUUAAGUGGGGAAACGAGCGCAACCCCCAUCUAAUGUUAAACUAUUCAUUAGAAACAGCCCCAUCUUUUUUCCGAUAAUUUAAAAUUGUCGCUAAAAAGAUGGGGAGGAAGGAGGGGUAGAUGUCAAGUCAGCACGGCCCUUAUACCCUGGGCCACACACACACUACAAUGGCGAAGAACAACGAGUUGCAAGCUAGCAAUAGCAAGCUAAUCUCUAAAAUUUCGCCUCAGUUCAGAUUGGGGUCUGCAACCCGACCCCAUGAAGUCGGAAUUGGUAGUAAUCGCGGAUCAGCAUGCCGCGGUGAAUACGUUCUCGGGUCUUGUACACACCGCCCGU